GUAGGUAUAGUUUAAUGGAAAAACGUCGCCCUAGUAAAGCGUUCUCCCCGGUUCGAUUCCGGAUGCCUACC
rnacentral:tRNA from 1 species